rnacentral:rRNA from 1 species
GUGGGGAAUAUUGGACAAUGGGGGGAACCCUGAUCCAGCCAUGCCGCGUGUGUGAAGAAGGCCUUUUGGUUGUAAAGCACUUUAAGCGAGGAGGAGGCUACCGAGAUUAAUACUCUUGGAUAGUGGACGUUACUCGCAGAAUAAGCACCGGCUAACUCUGUGCCAGCAGCCGCGGUAAUACAGAGGGUGCAAGCGUUAAUCGGAUUUACUGGGCGUAAAGCGCGCGUAGGUGGCCAAUUAAGUCAAAUGUGAAAUCCCCGAGCUUAACUUGGGAAUUGCAUUCGAUACUGGUUGGCUAGAGUAUGGGAGAGGAUGGUAGAAUUCCAGGUGUAGCGGUGAAAUGCGUAGAGAUCUGGAGGAAUACCGAUGGCGAAGGCAGCCAUCUGGCCUAAUACUGACGCUGAGGUACGAAAGCAUGGGGAGCAAACAGGAUUAGAAACCCUUGUAGUCC